rnacentral:lncRNA from 1 species
AUUCUGCGUAGACAAAAGAGGCAGUUUUUGUAAUGAAAUAUAUCACAGUGUUUUGGGGUUGGAGUACCACAAUGAUAUAAACAAUAUAGGGCCCUGUACAAAAACUGAAAGAUGGAAAAAUGGCUAUGUGUUUUUGAAAGAAAAUUACAUAAAUGCCUGAAAUAUGUCAGGAGACAAAUCCAAUGUUCUUUUCAUAUUUUCAUUUAUCCUGGAAAAAUAAAUCUCACAGAGUUGCCAAAACAUGGAAGAAAAGGAGAACUUGGGAUUUCUGUACUUGAUCAAGCUAUUUGAAGUCAUUGAACUACUCAAUUAUUGUUUGCUCCCUUCCAGGUUCAGAAGAAAGCAUUGAUUAAAACACCCUCAUGGAAUUUUAUACAUGGAUCAUUAGGAUAAGUAUAUGGCUUUUAUUCUCCUUUUUUAAACCAACUUAUAGAUACAGCAAGGAAAGAGUUAUUUAUUGGACUAAGUAUUAACAGUGUGAUAACAGAUAAGCUUGUCUUUGGAAGUGGAACCACUCUCACAGUCGAACCAAGCAAUCAGAAAGAAUCUGACCCAGAAGUUGUUCUGAUAAAAUCCAAGGCACUUGAAGAAGGUGGCAGUACUGGGAAAGCAGCUUGUUUGGCAAGGAACUUCUAUCCAAAAAAUAUCAGUUUGGACAUGUUAACAGCUGAAGUCAUAUAUGAACAGUCUCCACCCGUUAUGACAUCAGAGGGGACAUACAAUACUAUUAAAGUGGUGAAUGUGGCAAAAAAAUCAGAGGUAUCCUGCACGGCCAAGUUCAAGAACAAAAAUUUUCCAGCCAAUGCAACGUCAUCAGAAAAGGUGGUGGAAGAACCAAUAACAGCAAAUGUUUGCAACACCACAGACAUCUCUUCAAAAGGAGAUAUCAAAACAGAGAAAACAAACAUGCUGUCCAUGGCUGUGUUGGGUUUAAGAGUCCUGCUGGCAAAAAGUAUUGCCUUCAAUACACUCAUGAGCAUCAAGUUGUUUCUUUUCUGAGGCAAAGAGGUAUCAAGGCAGAAGAAAGCUGAGAAACAGCAGGAGAGAGCAGCUACCAGCAGUACAAUUUGAAGAGAUGAUGUUAAAUCUGUUGACAACAACCAUCUAGAACACAGCACAGCACCAUCUCCUUAAGACAUUUCAGAGUGUGGACUCCUGCCUGGAUAGUUUAUGUAAUUUUUAGAGUUGUAAUUGCUUUUGCUAUUUCUUGUUUUCUGUGAGCAGAGGAAAGUAUUUUUCCUCAUCUGUCAGCUAAGUAGAAAUUGAUCCUUCCACUUUUCUAUCCUUUGCAUGGAAGCAUCCAACAUACUUUGAUAGUUCUGAAAAAAAAAAUUGAAACCUCACUAUCGAUAUAUGAACUUUUAAAAAUACCUUUUUACAGCAAUGUUGCAUUAUUCUGUAGAACUGAUAUUUUACUUCUGAGAGGCACAGUGGAUGUCAUUUAUAUAUAUAUAUAUUUUAAGAUAUCUUUAAUAACCAUAAUUUUCUAGUAUAGAUGAGAAGAGCUGCAUUGGAUCCGAAGGGGUGCACUUCAACCAGAUGAUGUUCAACUGUAGUAACAUUUUUAUUUACAUUUCUGUAUUUAAUUUUUAUCUUUUCUGCAAAGGGUAUGACAUCUGCAUUUUAUAUCACUGUAGCGAUUAUCAAAAUAAAAUUUUAUUACACCAAAA